rnacentral:rRNA from 1 species
UGGGGAAUAUUGGGCAAUGGGCGGAAGCCUGACCCAGCGACGCCGCGUGGGGGAAGAAGUCUUUCGGGACGUAAACCCAUGUUGUACGGGACGAAGGAAGUGACGGUACCGUACGAGGAAGCCCCGGCAAACUACGUGCCAGCAGCCGCGGUAAUACGUAGGGGGCGAGCGUUGUCCGGAAUCACUGGGCGUAAAGCGCACGUAGGCGGGCUGUUAAGUCGGCCGUGAAAGGCACGGGCUCAACCGGUGCAUGUCGGUCGAUACUGGCGGUCUGGAGUAUGGGAGAGGGCACUGGAAUUCCCGGUGUAGCGGUGAAAUGCGUAGCUAUCGGGAGGAACACCAGUGGCGAAGGCGGGUUCCUGGCCCAUUACUGACGCGGAGGUGCGAAAGCCAGGGGAGCGAACG